rnacentral:rRNA from 1 species
GACAGAGGGUGCAAACGUUGCUCGGAAUUACUGGGCGUAAAGCGCGUGUAGGCGGUGCCGCACGUCCGGUGUGAAAGCCCAGGGCUCAACCCUGGAAGCGCACUGGAAACGACGGCGCUGGAGUCCUGAAGAGGAGGGCGGAAUUCCCGGUGUAGAGGUGAAAUUCGUAGAUAUCGGGAGGAACACCAGUGGCGAAGGCGGCUCUCUGGACAGGAACUGACGCUGAGACGCGAAAGCGUGGGUAGCAAACAGGAUUAGAUACCCUGGUAGUCCACGCCGUAAACGAUGAGCACUGGGUGUCGCGGGUAUUGACCCCCGCGGUGCCGAAGCCAACGCGUUAAGUGCUCCGCCUGGGAAGUACGGCCGCAAGGCUAAA